rnacentral:misc_RNA from 1 species
UUCCUGCUUUCUAGCCCUGGACCGAGCAGCUGAUUCUCUAUUCUUCAUCAUUCGUUUGUGUCUCCGAUCAGUAGAGUUGUUGUGAGUUUCUUGAAGCCUUUUCUGGCAAAUGGAAGGAAAGACCGAUGAAGAACCCAGAGCAUCAAAGGGAGAGAUUAGCCAAGAGCCAAAAGAGGGUGUGUCAACUCUCGCAUGACUAUGCAACUGAGGG